GCUUGCUCUUCUGGAUGAGUUGCGAACGGGUGAGUAACGCGUAGGUAACCUGCCUGGUAGCGGGGGAUAACUAUUGGAAACGAUAGCUAAUACCGCAUGACAACAGUUAUUGCAUGAUAACUGUUUAAAAGGGGCAAUUGCUCCACUACCAGAUGGACCUGCGUUGUAUUAGCUAGUUGGUGAGGUAACGGCUCACCAAGGCGACGAUACAUAGCCGACCUGAGAGGGUGAUCGGCCACACUGGGACUGAGACACGGCCCAGACUCCUACGGGAGGCAGCAGUAGGGAAUCUUCGGCAAUGGACGGAAGUCUGACCGAGCAACGCCGCGUGAGUGAAGAAGGUUUUCGGAUCGUAAAGCUCUGUUGUAAGAGAAGAACGAGUGUGAGAGUGGAAAGUUCACACUGUGACGGUAUCUUACCAGAAAGGGACGGCUAACUACGUGCCAGCAGCCGCGGUAAUACGUAGGUCCCGAGCGUUAUCCGGAUUUAUUGGGCGUAAAGCGAGCGCAGGCGGUUAGAUAAGUCUGAAGUUAA
rnacentral:rRNA from 1 species